AAGGAGCAACGUCGAGUCUGAUGAAGGGAGAAGACUUGGAAGGUAGAAUAUCGGUGCUGGAAUAGAGAAGCCCCUAAGCCAAGCUUUCUCGUUUUACAGAAUAUAAGCACCAGCUUCCAGGUCAUGUGACCAACAAGACAGCCAACUAGACAUUUUCUCCAUUCUUCACUAAAUCUCACAAAGUGGGGUGGAGUUUGGGAGUGAGGUUCUGGAAUUUUGUGUCUGAGAUAAAACAAUUACACUGAAUCCACAGGACAAGAGAGCAAGAAGCCCAACAAAGGCUUGGGAA
rnacentral:lncRNA from 1 species